UGACAGCUUGCCACACCCGCAGAAUUCACCAAGCGGUGGAUUGUUCACCCACUAAUAGGGAACGUGUGCUGGGAUUAGACCGUCGUGAGACAGGUU
rnacentral:ncRNA from 1 species